GGUUUUCCAGGACCGAUUUGUUGAGCGAGAAAUCCAGUCAUUGACGCUACACUGCGUCAACUAUGAGCUCGGUUGUAAAUGGAAGGAUGAACUGAGAAAACGAGAGGCCCAUGAAGCUGUUUGUGAGUAUGUGAAAGUACCUUGUGUUCACUCCGAUUGCGGCGAACUGGUAACUAGAGCCCAGUUAGCAGACCAUCUGAAACAGAGGUGCCAGUAUAGAUUGGACACAUGUGAGUACUGCCAUACUCAAGUCAUUUUUUGCAGUUAUAAAGGAACAUUAUGAAACCCAGUGCCCUGCGGUGCUAAUCGAAUGCGCAAAGUGUAACAGGAAGGACAUUCCUCGUGGGCAGGUAAGCUCAGAUAUACUUUCUCCAAUGGUUUAUAAGAGAGGCAAGUCUCAUGAACUACCAUCCAUGAUUUUAGAUUAGGAAAAUCAACAAUUACAGUGCUUUGAUCAGAUAUGGUGCAAUUACUACUUAGUAUCGAAAAAUUUAUAUAUUCUUUCUAGAUCAAUACGCUUGUCUGCCAUUUCAAUACACGUAACCAACCCAAAAGUAAUUGUGGUGAAUGAUUAUUUAGUAUACACCACACAGAAGCAAGUAGCUUGUUU